rnacentral:rRNA from 1 species
UACAGAGGGGGCAAGCGUUAUUCGGAAUUAUUGGGCGUAAAGGGCGCGUAGGCGGCUUGGCAAGUGGAAGGUGAAAUCCCUCGGCUUAACCGAGGAACUGCCCUCCAAACUGCUUCGCUUGAGACCGGGAGAGGUGAGUGGAAUUCCCAGUGUAGCGGUGAAAUGCGUAGAUAUUGGGAGGAACACCAGUGGCGAAGGCGGCGCACUGGACCACAACUGACGCUGAGGCGCGAAAGCUAGGGGAGCAAACAGG